rnacentral:lncRNA from 1 species
CCCGCGGGAGCCGCAGCCGCUGGGCGCGCCCCCAGCUUGUCCUCCUCCUCUCGGCCUCCCAGCUCCUGCUGCUCCUUUGGCGACUCGGGCUCUACGCAUAGCUAGAAGAACCCCGUUUGACUAGAGGACCAGGCUCCCGUUCUGGCUUCGGCUCUCAGUCCCUCUGUAUCUCGCGCAAGCAAAUCAUUACGUUCAUCCUCCAUCUCCCAGCCUCAGUUUCCUCGCCUAUGACACGGCAGAGAUGGGCCAGGAAGACUUUCCUGGACACAUCAGCGCACACUACAGUUUUGUGACUCUGGGAAUAGGGCCGGAAGGAUUCAGGGCUGGGCUCCAGCUGCUAAGAUGACGGGAAGACAGCAUGACCCGAGAGCCAGCCUUCUUAUCUGCGCCAGAGACCUCACGGUGUCCUGCCACGACCCAUACCCCUAUGGCCUCCAUCCGGGACUGCUGCACAGCUCUGUUCUGAGUCCCCGCCCUGCAAAGGAGGUGUGGAGGUUGUGGCCUCCUUCCACCACCCCGCCCUAAGCAACUUUCCCUUCAGGAGACUCAGCAGAGGACAAGUAAUCUCAUAGAAAGUCCCAGAGAGACUGGAACUAAUGUCAGCAUCACGCACACUGAGAAGUGCCCUCUUCAAUCAACGAAGCUGGAGGUACAGAGGGAGAAGGAGGAGGAAGCAAGAGAAGGGAGAGCGUGAAGAGCAGUCAAUUGGGAUGGUCCCUGGGAAAAUCCUGCAGGAGCCCUGUCUUAGGCCAAAGGCCUGGCAACUAGAGGACGGAUUUGUGAAAGUCAGCUCCGUCCAGACCUACCUUGUGACCUCGACCUUGGACAAGUCACUUCAUCUCUCCAAGACUCAAGUUCCUCGCCUGUAUACAAAUGGGGAUCUGUGGAACCCAUCUCACAGGAUUAUGGAGAAAAUGAAAUGGGAUAACCUACAUAAGUACUGUAACUGUGGCCAGGCAGGGCUCAGUAAAACCCAGCACGAUAGCUGUUCUGGGCAGCAAUAUGGGUUCCUACAGUUGGUUGGCUGGUGGAAGGCACCUCUGAGGAUGUGUG